rnacentral:rRNA from 1 species
AACCAGCACCUCAAGUUGUCAGGAGGAUUAUUGGGCCUAAAGCAUCCGUAGCCGGCUCUGUUAGUUUUCGGUUAAAUCCAUAUGCUCAACAUAUGGGCUGUCGGGAAUACUGCAGAGCUAGGGAAUGGGAGAGGUAGACGGUACUCGGUAGGAAGGGGUAAAAUCCUUUGAUCUAUCGAUGACCACCUGUGGCGAAGGCGGCUAGCUGGGCCGGAUCUGACGCUCAUCCGCGAAAGCGUGGGGAGCAAACAGG